rnacentral:ncRNA from 1 species
UUUCCCUCAGGAUAGCAGCAACUUAUUUACGAUAGUUUUAUGAGGUAAAGCGAAUGAUUAGAGGAUUCGGGGAAGAAACUUCCUCGACCUAUUCUCAAACUUUAAAUCUGUAAGACCUGCAGGUUUCUUAAUUGAACUUGUGGAUGUGAAUAUCAAGUUGCUAGUGGGCCAUACGGGGUAAGCUCGUCUGGCGAUGCGGGAUGAACCG